AGCGAACGCUGGCGGCAGGCUUAACACAUGCAAGUCGAGGGGAGCGGCAGACGGGUGAGUAACGCGUGGGAACGUACCCUUUGGUUCGGAAUAACACAGGGAAACUUGUGCUAAUACAGGAUACCGAAAGAUCGGCCCGCGUCUGAUUAGCUAGUUGGUAGGGUAAUGGCCUACCAAGGAGACGAUCAGUAGCUGGGCUGAGAGGAUGAUCAGCCACAUUGGGACUGAGACACGGCCCAAACUCCUACGGGAGGCAGCAAUGGGGAAUAUUAGACAAUGGGGGCAACCCUGAUCCAGCCAUGCCGCGUGAGGGAUGAAGGCACUAGGGUUGUAAAGCUCUUUUGUGCGGAAAGCGGUACCGCAAGAAUAAGCCCCGGCUAACUUCGUGCCAGCAGCCGCGGUAAUAG
rnacentral:rRNA from 1 species